GAUGAACGCUGGCGGCGUGCCUAAUACAUGCAAGUCGAGCGAACAGAUAAGGAGCUUGCUCCUUUGACGUUAGCGGCGGACGGGUGAGUAACACGUGGGUAACCUACCUAUAAGACUGGGAUAACUUCGGGAAACCGGAGCUAAUACCGGAUAAUAUUUCGAACCGCAUGGUUCGAUAGUGAAAGACGGUUUUGCUAUCACUUAUAGAUGGACCCGCGCCGUAUUAGCUAGUUGGUAAGGUAACGGCUUACCAAGGCGACGAUACGUAGCCGACCUGAGAGGGUGAUCGGCCACACUGGAACUGAGACACGGUCUAGACUCCUACGGGAGGCAGCAGUAGGGAAUCUUCCGCAAUGGGCGAAAGCCUGACGGAGCAACGCCGCGUGAGUGAUGAAGGUCUUCGGAUCGUAAAACUCUGUUAUUAGGGAAGAACAUACGUGUAAGUAACUGUGCACGUCUUGACGGUACCUAAUCAGAAAGCCACGGCUAACUACGUG
rnacentral:rRNA from 1 species